AUGACCACUGACUGCUUAUCCCAGCUUGAGAGGAGCACAGCCCACAGAGUCUAUUUCUAUAUUUCUAUACCUGUGAGAGAUGAACCACCCCUGUGAUGCCUUGCCUGCCUGUCCCACACUCUUUACCUCCCAUUCCUCCUUCCUUGCCUCUCUUGGUGGAGACACGGCAUUCUCCCACCCCUGGCCCUGGCUCCUCUGGCACUCAGCCACCAUCCUGCAGCAGGUCUGACUGGAUCUUGUGUCUGCCAGAGACUGCUCUUCAGCAGCUGGGCCCUGGAGGUAAGAGCAGUGACUGAGAAAGGCUUCUCCCAAGUAAAACAUGACUUAUUCAUAGGAACAGAGCACUUGGGGAGAAAAAUGUUAAUGUGAGAUGAGCCAAUGCCUCCCCCGAAAGAUCUACAGGCCUAACACUUCCUUGGACCCUACUUUCUGGAUGGAAAUACCUCUGAAAGACUUCACUUUUCUUAGCCUCAGAGCAGAGAUCUUCUUUGUAACAAGGCAAAGCCUCUGUUUUGUGUGUUUGCGAGCUCCGUUUGCCAAGCUCGUCUGGUGAAGAAACUAAUGGACACUGGAAACAUUCCUGUGCCUGCCCUGCUUCAUGUACUGCAUGCUGCACAGCAGCACAAGAGGAGUCCCUGUUUCUAAAAUUGAACUCUCUUUCUUAACAACCUCAUUUACCAGGACACUGAGCAGGCAAAUCAGAUGCACACGACUUGUCUGGCUGUGCUGCGUCCAAGCUCUGCCUUCCUGCAACAUUGGCUCUCCCCUUGAAGUUCACUGCAGGAUGGCAGAGGGAGCCCCCAGUGUGCAAGUCAAGCUUGAGCCAGAGUUCUGCUGGGGCUGCAAGAUGGAGGGGAAACACAGCAGCUGGGGCUUCCUUCCACUCUCCUGGGGCAGCAGAAAUAACCUUCUGUGAACGAAGCACAGGAAAAGAAAGAAAAAAAAAGCACAUAAGCAUCCAUGACAAUUUGCAAAUAGAGGAAUCUGAACUCUCAUGGGGGAUGGAAUUCAGUGAAGGCAGCUGUAGGUAAGGGCUCAGACCAGUUCUCAUCAUCUGCUUGUCCUUUACCAGCUCCCUUUGGCAGCCUCACAGCUUUUCUCCCCACCCACCAUUGGUGGGUUCCUGUUUCUUUCAAGCCUCUUGGUUGUGGGUGACACCGGAUGCAUGUGCCUAAGGAGAGAAGGACAGCAAACAAUUUAGGGUGGUGGAGGCCUCUAGAGACAAUUUAACUACAAAUAAAUUCUUCAGUUAUCUUAAUGCCAGAAGGCAUCUCAGUAAAAGUGGUUUCAUGUUCAAGAAAGAUGCCUGCUUACUUCCAGGUUAAUAUUUUUUUUUAUUAACAAAGCAGUUUGCUGACAGUAUAAACUAUUGUCUAGAGCAGUGCUGCUCGAACAACUACAGCUGCUGAAUGAGCCAUGUAACAGUUCAAAAGGGUGUAACUCAAAAGGAGUUAAUCCACAAUAUUUUUGUAUUAAACUGUCAACAGUUCAAGCCAGUAAGUAUUUCUUUUGGUAAGUGGGUGUUGUGCAGGGCUUGCAGGAUUUUCAGAAACAGACAAAUCAAAAAGCAAGCCAUUCUUGGAAAACCAAAAUAAUAUAAAAUUGUGAAAUGGACAACACCAGCCCUCAGCUUAACCCCAUAGGAUGGUGCCCAUUUGGUGAGGCACUGCCUGUGCUGGGGUCACGCUCAGCUCCUGGCUCUUCCCAUCUCAAGGAGCUACCCCAGUUUUCCUGCUCCCUGACAAAGUCACAUUGGAAAACAUUGCUUCUGGGAUCCAGGUCAAAGUUUAUAGCAAUAUUUUUUCAAGUAUUAUUUUUGAGACCAUGACAGUACUAAAAAUCAGCUGAUUUCUAGCUGUUCUUUAGUACAGGUAAGUAGUGACAAAUUUGAGUUAGCACAAGCACACCUCACUACAGCUUGUCCACUGUGUUUGAGGUGCAGGUCUUGCUUGGUGGUGAUGGAAAAGCUAUGGGAACAUUAGCAUUCACCCCCAUGGCAGCUGGCAUUAAUGCCAACCUGGUGUGUUCCUUCUCUCCAUACCACAAGGACACUCGCAGCUAUGUUGGGCUUCGCCCUCCCCAUCUCCUGUCACCCACACACAUUUAGAUCAGCACUGAGUCUGUUUCAGGCUGCUUGUCACAACCCUCUGACAAAGCAAAGAGAGGCACAUGGAUAAAGGGUAAAGAGAGAAGUAGCAAGAAGGGAAGAGAUGGAAGGAAUACAUAUGUGGAGUGGAAAAGGUUUGAAUAGAUCAUUGGCUAUAGUUUUCAGCUGUGUUUGAGGAAGCCUUCAGCAGAAAGCAUUCUACAGGACUCCAAACAGAUGACAGAAGUUGCAAAGGUCACUUUAAGUGAGCUGAUUUCAAAUCUAGAUCAGAUUAGGACAACUGGAGGUCUGAUCACUACAUGGUUAUGCAAGAGUCACAUGUGAAAUCAUCAAUUGGUUCUUACAGUGUAGCUGGAGUGAAACCUUCUGCCCAGCCCUUCCUCUGGAGAGUUAAAGCAGAAAUAACUGAAAGAAAACACAUUUUGAGAUUAAUUUUUCAGACCAUCCCAUAAACCAGGUUGUUUCUUUUGGACGUUUGAGAAAGAAUAGCUGCAUACAUUCUUCAAAGUAGUGUUAUGUUGGUUUGGAGCAGAGCUACCUAUUGAACAGCUGUCACAUCAUUACUCAGGGGCAUAUGCCAACAAGUUUGAAAUCCAAACUUGCAGACAUUAACAGCAACAUGGAGAAUUUAGAUAAAAUGUGCAUUUCAAGCUCUAAGCAGGCAAGCCUGCACUGACAUUGCUCCAUAUAAGCAAGAUUGCUGUUGCUACGGUUUCCAAAUGGCCUCAUUGUGAGCAAUCAAUAAAGGCACUGAAUGAAAUUGUUAAAUUAAAACUGCAGCUCCUGUUGCUGAAGGCAAGGACUCUGCAUGAUCAGUCACAACUAUAGGUUAGUUUGUUUAAGUCUUUGUAUUCAGAGGAUUUGAUCACAGCAUAGAGGAAAUUGCAGUGAUGCACAGCCUGACAUCACACAGAGAUGGUCUCUUUUACUUUUUGCACAAAUGAUGGUUUGACUUUUGUGCUGUUGAAAGGCAAAUAUCUUUCAAGAUGAUGACAUAUAACUAACUGCAGAAUAUUUUGUUCAAAAUUAUAAAUCGCUGCAUCACAUUUUAUUAUUUUAUUAAAGCACUAUUACUAUUAUUUCUGUUACAUAUGAACAGUAAGAAUGACAUUUCAAAAAUUUAUAUAAUACAGAAAAUUUCCAGUUUUCUAUGUUUUUAGUGAAAAUGGUAUAAACAUCAAGUACUUUCAAACUGAAUAUCAACAGAUCUGAAACAGGAUGCUCUCUAUGGAUAAAAUGUAUUUAUAUCAGCUUGAUGUGAAGAGGCAAAAAUACGCAAUUACCAUUUAACAGAUUUUGGGAUGACAGAAGAUUGUGAAAAGCUAUGUUUGUGGCUUACCUAUCUAAAAUUCUGCUGACCAUGGAAUAGAAUUACAUAGUAGAGAUUAUAUGGGACCUUUUUUUUCAAAAUACUUGAAAUCUUAAAAUAAACAACUAGCAACAGAGUCCAGAAUGCAUAAUAAACAGACUUGAAGAGCUUUUAACCCCAAUCUUAAAAAAAGGAAAAAAAAAGAAAAGUGCUUAGUUUAUAUAAGAAUAACUAAGAAUAACAGUUCAGAGCAUCUUUAAAUCCAAUAGAAUACAUUUUUUAAACCCUUAAUACCCUGAUGUAUUUAUCCCAAGCACAACCUUGGUGUGUCUGUGAGAUACUCGACCUUUCCUUUCAAACCCCUCAAAAUAAUGGAAUUGGUAGAACAGAAGAUACAGACCGCAUGAUAGAUAGAAAAUAAAUGUUCCAAAUAUUUCCAAUGAUAAUAAACAGAAGUCCUAAUUACAAUAGGUAGAGGUACCUUUAAAAGCUUAAUCUAACUAACUUUCAGUUAGAUACAAACUGUGAAUCUAUGUCAUUCUGCAAACAGAACUCAGGCUCCUAAAUUAACUAAAGACAAAGGUUUUGUAUUCCUUUGAGAUUUAGGCAUCUAAAUCUCAUGUACAUUUUAAACAUUUUUGAAAUCUGGCAUUCAUUUCCAAUCUAACCACCAAUUUUUGUGUGGUAUAAAACCACCAGAGUUUAUAUUUCUAUAUUAACCUUACUCUCCAAACUCCUUCCUUCAACAAGACUUUGCAAGUUUGCAUCAACAAUGUCUUUCAUGGGUAAAACUAGAGGCACCAACCAUAAAAUCACAGAAUCAUUUACAUCAUAAAGGACCUUUAAGAUCAUCGGGUCCAACUAUAAACCCAGUACUGCCAAAUCCACACUAAAACAUUUCCCAAGUACAACAUCUACACCUCUUCUAAAUACCUCCAGGGAUAGUGACUCUGCCACUUCCCUGGGCAGCCUGUUCCACUGCUCAACCACCCUUUGGGUGAAAAACCUUCUCCUGAUAUCCUACCUAAACCUCCCCUGACACAACUUCAGGUCAUUCCUUCAGAUACUGAAAGAACAAUGGACUAGUGCAUGAGAUUGUAUGAAUGUUCCAGUCCAUCAUCACAGGACAUGUACACAAUUAUUUUACUUUGUGUGUGAAACCUUCUCUAGAAGAACAAAGUACCUUACAAAAUGUGAACUUUGUCUUCAUAAAUAAAAGCAUCUGUUUGCUGUCUAACCAUCUGGUUUGUCUAAAGUUUAUAGUCUCCUGAGUGUUAUUCACAGGCCCACAUAUGAUCAAACCUCCACAGACAUUUUUAUUCGGUAAAAGCUUUCCCACAGCCCUUCAUUUUUUCUAUCUGUUUUUGAUCUUGUAAAAAAAUGUCACUUUAAUACGUGUGUUGUAAUACUGCAUGUGUUUGUGUUUCUGUGAACUGUGCAGAUCUCCUGGUGUGUAGAUAUUAUGGGCUAGAUUCUCUUGGGAACAGUGCAGGAACGAACUACAGAAGAGUCAUUUGGAGAUACCAGACUCUACGGCUUCUUCUCUGCCAUCCCUGAACAAAGGGCUAGGUGAUGGUGGGUAGAUUACUUCAAAAUGUAUCAACUAUUAACACGAAACAAGGCAUUGAGAAUUGGUUCAGUUCAAGAGCAACAGCUAGUAAAAGGUAACAACCACUUUGUCAAUCCCACACCAGACAGGUACUCUGCUGUGUUUGUCAAUUCCAUGGUUCCUGACAGCAUGCAGGGUCCAGAUAACAUAGCUGUGUUUGGCCCUGUGUGAAUAAAAUGUGUUAUUAUUUUCCCUUAAUUCUACUUUUACAAGCUGAACAGUCACUACAUUUCUGCUUGCUUUCUCUGUUUCAUAAACACAAGAUUUUCCAUCCGGAGCCCUUACAAAGCCUUGCCAAAAGGGUUCAUUCUCCUUUAGAGUUCAGCUGCUGAAGAAAAUGUCUCAGUUCUCUGCUAGGUCAGUAAGUACACAACAGUUCACGAGCUCUGAUACUUCUGCCUAAUCUGCUCUCUUACCACAGGCAAUGGAAAAUGUUUCACUUGAAACAACAAACAUUCAAAAUCAGAAAUAGAAAUUACCUCAGUAGAUAUUAAUAUAACUUCACAGAAGCCUAUCUCUUUCUGCUUUAAGCCAUGAUUGAUGUUUCAGCAAAGUGUGUGCAUAUUUAAGUCUUUUUCUGCAGUCAAUAGCAAUGAUGGCACCUUUUUAUCUACUAGAAGUCAGCAAUUUUCUGUAUGCG
ensembl:lncRNA